GGGAGCCUCCAGGAGCCUGGAGGAGAGGACUCAGGCCCCAGGAGUUCCCGCUGGGCCCACGCGCCUCCGUGUCCUCUGGCCCCACCACCUCUGCACCCAUGAGAGCCGCGGAGGAAGCUCUCUCCUCCUGGCCCUCUGCCCGCUGCUUCCCGGAGCCCUGGGAGGACGAUGUAUCUGUAUAAGGACAACCUCCUGAGCCGAGAGACGGUCACUUACCUGAGGAGGAAGAGCCAGUCAGAGCUCAAGGGCUGCAGGGGCCUUCCGGGAGGCGCUGGGGCUGCAUCUAUGGCUUUGUUGUUACCAGCGAGAAGCGAGUCCCUCAGUCCCAGUAACAGUAAAUGCCAGCUGCCUCCCAGUCCAGGGAGACGGUGCCGCCGGGAAGACCAGCCCGUGACCAGCUUCUAGCAUGACUUGAAGAAAAAAAUCACCAUGUUUCGUGCACCUCAUCACCGGUGUUGCCUUCGUCUUUCAGUGCUGGCUCUAACCGCGUGGCUGUUGGUUAACCCCUCCACGAGAGAUGGACUGUCCCCCGGACGUGGCCCAAGUUGGUUCCAUACACGCUGUUUUCCUUCGGAGCCCUUGUCACAUCCUGUCGUCAUCGGUUUGCUUACACUGGACUCACCUGCCUUGUUUGCUCUCGUGGCCUCUGAGCCUCAUUCACCUCCUGGUACCUCAUAAUCUCGGUGAACCUGUGACUUGUGAACAGGUGCACGUGGCUGGAGUACCUCAUCCCAGCUUCUGAUCCUCUCUGUCUUUUCCUGGACUCGGACACCCUGGCUGAUUUGCUAUCCUUUCCUCCAGAGAAGCCCCCAGAUCCACAGCUUCUACGCACUGAUGCCCAAUACUUGUCUUUCCUACCAAUUUCCACAUGCUGACUGUCACAUCUAUGGAAAUGUUAUCCAAUGAUUCUGCAGUGUUCCCCGUUCCCAGGAACAGGGGAUGGGGAGUGGGGGGUACCAUUUCUUGAAGAGCUAGGUACCUGUGCCUUAUUUGAGAUACUUACAGGUUCACGACUCUGAGAAUCAACACUAUUAUUUCCACUUUACCAAUAAAGAAACAAAAGCUCAAAAAAGGAUCGAAUAGCUUGUCCAAGCUGCGUAAGGAAAAUCUGAAUCCUGGUCUUUCCGAUCUCAAAGCUUACACGGCUUGUCAGUCUGCCCCCAGUUUAAGCAGGCUGUUAAAUCGGAGGUUGCUUAAUAGCCCUUGACGUGAAAAAGGCAGCACACAGGUACUAACUCAGAUAAGCUACUUCUUGGGAGGAAAGGGGGAGAUCAGGCAAAGAUAUUAUCGGUAGACCGAUUCCAAGCAAGGAUUGACAGAGGUCAGCCUCUAAAACCGUAAAGCUUCAAGAGGAAGACCAUUAGCCCCUAAGAAGCCCGCCUUUGGGGCCCUCUGUGUCAGGGGGCUGACGGCGGGGGGUGGACGUCAACCCCUGACCCCUCUGGAGAAGGUGGCAGGAACCCCGUGAGUGAAGCCCGCUCACUGGCUGUCGCUCCCCCUUUUGGCGAUGCUGGGAGCAGCCCGCAGCCCUGUGCUCAGGUGAGAGCAGCUGUAGAAGGUGCAGGUCUCCAGCGCUCAUGGGAGGGGAGAGGCACGGCGCCGGCCGUUCGCGGGCGCUGUCAGGCUCACGCCCUCAGAGCUGAGAAGUCUCAUUGCCGCCUCGGACGGUGCUCCUGACCCAGCCUGCCUGUGCUCCGUCUCCCCACCUGUAGGCGAUGCCCGUGCAUCGGAGUCUUUGCAGGCUGAGACCCAGGCCACAGGACCCUUCCCGGCCCCUUAAAGGAGAAUCAUGCUGCAGCGUGAGGUUUUGUCACCUGCUUGGACCAGAGGCUUAAAUGAACUGUUCCACAUACUUUUCCAAAUACUGGAAAGCUCCCAGAAAACAAUAGGCUGGCGCUCCCUGCAGUCUGAAGCACGGUUACUGUCACAAAGGGACAGAGCUCUUCCGUGACUUGGGUCCUUUCCUCGUGUGUAUGAUGGGACAACUCUGGAAGCAUGCUCUCUUUUUAUAACAGUGUUUUAAAAUAUUCCAGAAUCGGGUGCGACUUAAUAGCUGUGCAUUGGCUUGAAUUUUGUGUUCACCCUGACAGAUCUUCCUUCCCAUUUGUACUUUUCUGCUUGACUUUUUUAGAUUUAUUUUUCUGGUGUUAGACAGUAUGGAAUAUACCUAUUGCUUGUCUCAGCCAUUUCUCUUACUGGCCAAGAUCCUGUUGAAUGCCCACCCCACUCUCGAGAACCUCCCUGAUGUAUCAUGUCCCUGUUUUGACGGCAUCUUGAAGCACCUGAGCAUGGGCACUCCCCUGGUCCCUUGGCCUAAAGAGCACACGCUAAGUUUCCUUCUGUGGUCGGUCCUGAUGCGUCCGCUGAUGAGCAAGCCUGCUCUCUGGCCUCGCUGUGGUUAAGUACCUCAUCCAGGGCGUUGUAAUCAUUAACUUAGACACUUCAAUCAGUGGUCACUUGACAGGACAGACUUUCCUGCAUCGCACUGCUGAGUCACACAGCCUCUCACUGGCUGAACCGUGAGCGUCGGAGAGUCAGGCCUCCCCAAGGAACCUUCCUUGGAUCUGCUCCGAAGCCCUCCCAGGAGCCAGGCAGGUCCCCCUGCAUGGAAGACUAAUUUUUAGGGAUGGGGACCUGUGCGACCUGGGCUUCCACUCCUGUGAUGUGCUCAAAGGUGAAUGCCAGCUUCAGUGUUAGACCACGUAGGCGGAGGAUGUCCUGUGGCUCCAGGUCUAAAGUGCCCUCCACCCGAGGUCGGAUUUACAGGCUCAUGCUGCCCUCUGCUGGCCAUCUGGAGUCUGUGCUGCUGCAGAAGAAGGCAAAAUCAAUUCUGAAAAUAGAAACCUCCUAUCUUCUGUGCAGGCUGCUUUCAUGCUUUUCCUCCAUGAUUGGAGGUACAAGAUCAAUACCAUGUUUUAUUUCAGAAGACAUCUUGCUGAUCAAACCUUGAUGGUCUGCAAAACGCACAGCCUGGGCGGCAGGCAGGGGGCGUGGGGGGUGGGGGGGAACAGUUUCCUUAGCAGCAGCCACACCGGCUUGAGGAGGUGUGUGGUGCUCACUGUACAGGAAAGAGAGGUGCUCCUUCAUCCUCCUUAAAAAAAAUUCAUCUCUUUAUCACAGUGGUAGAGUAGCAAGAGAAAACAACUGAUUUUGCUUCCUCUGCUGCUCUGGAUUAGUUCCUAAGGGUUCAUACUGUCAUUUAAAUUCCAGGUGCUCAUCUUCUGAAGAAACGCCCCCUUAGGAUUUCUGUGCCUGGAAAAUACCCAUCUACAGACUGCUUUGAUAUCUUGUGUAAGUAGAGGCUUGUGCUCAUAAAUCAGUCUCAAGGGAGCUUUGGUUUAUUUUCUUGGAUGAUUCACCAGUACAUUUUCUAAAUGAUCAUCAGUGUUUGAUCUCUAUUUCUUUCCUCCUAAAUACUCAACUUUCAAUCGAUUCUCAGAAGAAGUCCCUAACAUGAACUCCUGCUUAAAACCAGGGUUAUGGAUCUCAUUUUCAGGUCUUAAAAUAAGAACAGACAGAAAAUGUUACAGCUGCUUACUUCCAUUAACUCAGCUGGAAACGCCGUUUGUGGAUCCGAGGGCACCUUUUCAGGGUUCGGGGCACGUCAGGCUCCUCUGGGGUUAGCGACUGUGGGACGCUCACCUGUAGCGCAGACGUGAACACAGGAGCCGGGAGCCCUUCUGUUUGGGAGGCCGAAGCAGGUCUCUUAGCCACGCUCUGCUUCUGACGUGGUGAAGAAAAGCGAAGUCAUUGUUUUAUCGUCGUAACCAUCACCGAGUGAAUGGGAACCCGUGCUGUUUCUAGCUUUUCCUUAUCUAGCUGAACUCUCACAACAAGCUUAUGUGGUAUAGACCCUGAUUUCACAGAUGAGGCAACUGAGAAUGGCGGGGGCUGCUGGACUAAGAGGACGUGAGCUUCCUUAGAUUAGUGGGAAAACAAGUCUUUAGAGAAGAUGUGACUUGCUUAAGGUCACCCUGCAGGUCAGAGUGUGGCUGAGGGUCCAGGGCCAAAGCUGGUCGUAAUUGUUUGCUCACGUGCUUAUUGAUGAAACCCUGAAACUCGGAGCCGAUUGAUGUUCAGAGUUCUGUGUAGCCACGCGGAGAUGAGCCCUUACCAUUUCUAUAAAGCACCAAGCGGCAAAGACUGACGCCUGGGAGCCUGGGCCUGGAAUCUCGCAAGGCAGGGCCUGAAUCCUGGGCUUGCCGUCCACAGGCUUUGUGUCCAAGAGCGAGACCUGUACCCUCGCAAAAUCUGUUCCUUCCCCUGGAAAAUGGAGAUAACGCCACCAGCCUUGUUAGGUGGCUGUGAACACUGAGAGAGCACAUGGCAUAGUGCUGGCACAGAACUAAGCCUUCCAGAAAUGGAUGCUGCUGCUGUUUUCAGAGCACCUUCUCCAUCUGCUUCUCGGUUCAUUCAGACCUUCACCCGGAAAAGGCACUCCAGUGUUCUGAUCUGAUGAAACAGUGAACAUUUGUGAGGUGCUUUAAAAAUUACAGAUGUUUCUGUAUACUCCCGAGCACCACUGCAGGAUAGGAAUCUGCAUCUCCGCUCUCCAGAUCGGCAUUCUUAGGCUCGGCAAAAUCACAUGCUCCCCAGGAUCCUGUAGUUAGUCAACAGCACAGCCAGGACCUCAACUCAGAGCUGCAGCUCCGGACCCUGUGCUGAAUAACUUCAUUUGCUUCCUGUGAGGCAGCAUUUAUUAGAGGCAUGUACGUUAACAGAAAAGCACUUCCCACCCUGGGAUCCCAACCGGCCACAGCUGCAUCUUUAAUCUGGCCUAAAUAUUCAAGUUAGGACUCCUGUAUCCCGAUGUCUGUAACAUUUGGAAGCCACUGUCUUAAAGACGUGUCCUAGUCAGAUACGGUCUCCUCGGGUAUUUAAGCCCCAAGGGACGUUACCUUAAUCCGGUUUUCCUGCAAGAACAGACUGGCAUUUCAUGUCAAGGGAAACACCGUGUCUCCACUGUUCCGCUUUUGCCACACCGGAGUUAUCCGUGUGGUUUACGGAGUCACAUUUCAGGCUCUACCUUGCCUAUCAGAUCUGGAAGCAAAAAUCCAGAGAAGGGCAGCUUGCUCAAAAAGAGCAUCAAGUAUGGCAGGGCAGGUGGGAUUUUGAAAUGGAAACACAUUCCUGUGGCUUUUGGGCUGAGGGAGACGGAGGAAGGAUUUUGUUCCUGACAAGUGGUUCCCUUUGUGCUGGGGAUGGAGCAUUCAGCAGGGUUAAACGUGUGUUCCAUGUGUAAGUGGUGGGAACAAAUAACACGCCUUUCCAAUGAUGCAAUACCUUAAACAUGGUUGAGGGUUAAAAUAGGAGCACCCUGAGUUACAGAGAGUCAGCCCUGUCCAUCUCCUGGCCUGAACAUGCAGAACAGUGGGGUCGAUUGUUGGAGACGGAGGGCAGGAAGGCGUGGAAAGAUGCUGUCGUGACCGAGUAAGAUCUUUCCCUGCAGGUCAGUGUCGCUGACGGACUCGGCAGAGUAAGCAGAUGCCAGGUGCUGGGGCCCGUUUUCCCACGUGUGUCCUGGAAGGAGAAGGAACGAGCCCCUGAUUUUUUUUUCCACAUCCCUACUAGGGAACCAUGGGAUUUUUUUCCCCCUGUGUGAGUUUGAUAGCCACCCUGCCCACGCAGACCUCUUUGCAGGAAACCGGCCUCUUGCUUUAGAAGAUGAUACAAAAACAGAGGCCCAAACUCAGGAGCUCUAUUUCAGUGUAUUUUGUGGACGUCAUUUUAUAAUCGCCAACUAAGUACCUCUGGUUCCCACCAAGGGCUUGCCAGCUUCAAGGACAGAUACACUACAUGACUGAUUCUGGUGCUAAUUACUCUUUUUCUGCUAAAAAUGCCUCCUCAUUUGAAGAGCCAUAGAUGGGAAAGAAUAUAUCCACCUUUUUUCUGCUGAUUUUUUUGAAAAGGCGUAUUUAAAGGAUAAUACAGUACCAUCUGUUUGUUUCUGCUGAGGGAAGAGAACAGUAUGGUUGCAUGUGUAUUAUGUGUAUGCGUGUGCAGGUAUGUACAUGUGCAGAUGUGACCUUUACUUGAUGUAUGAGAUAUGUAUGACCUUAGAUAUAAGUAAAAGGAAGAAAGUCAUUCUUUAGGAAAAAAAUUUCCCCGUAACUGAAAUGUCAGUCAUUAGUUAAAAAUGAAAAAAAAUUAGGGUGUUCCUGUCAUGGCUCAGUGGUACAAACCUGACUCGUAUCCAUGAGGAUGUGGGUUCGACUCCUUGUUCUGUGGGUUAAGGACUCGGCAUUGCUGUGAGCUGUGGUGUAGGUCACAGACGUGGCUCAGAUCCCACGCUGGUAUGGCCGUGACAUAGGCCAGCAGCUACAGCUCUGAUUUGACCUCUAGCCUGGGAACUUCCAUAUGUCUCGGGUCUGGCCCUAAAAAUAAAUUAAUUUAAAAAAA
rnacentral:lncRNA from 1 species